rnacentral:rRNA from 1 species
UACAGAGGUCCCAAGCGUUGUUCGGAUUCACUGGGCGUAAAGGGCGCGUAGGCGGCCACCGCAAGUCGACUGUGAAAUCUCCGGGCUUAACCCGGAACGGUCAGCCGAUACUGCGGGGCUAGAGUGCAGAAGGGGCAACUGGAAUUCUCGGUGUAGCGGUGAAAUGCGUAGAUAUCGAGAGGAACACCUGCGGCGAAGACGGGUUGCUGGGCUGACACUGACGCUGAUGCGCGAAAGCUAGGGGAGCGAACGGG